UAAACCCCUGAACACAUCCAUCCAUCCAUCCCUCGCGACAAGGGUGAGUCUCGCGCACCACUGCAACCCUCUCUCUCUCUCUCAAUGCUUCUUCAAGCACAAACCGCCCGAAACCAUUAACGUUAAGCGCAACCCCUUCCUCGCCAUCCUCCUCCCACAAAGGGAAAAAAAAAAAAAAAAAAACCCCAAGGCCUGCAUCGUCUCUGUUCAGUCAUGUCAGCCAUUGCCAUCUCAUGCGCCCGUUCUGCUCUCCGCUCCACACCUAUCCGAAAUGCAGCGGCCAGACUUGCAACAGAAGCCAAAGCCUCUCGCUCCCCCUUCCUUAUCUCCCAGCAGAAGUCUCUUUCUCAUCGUAUCUUAAGAUCUCCCGUUGAGAUGAGUUCCUUCUGUUUGGAAUCAAUGUUGCCUUAUCACAAUGCGACUGCCUCUGCUUUGCUGACCUCGAUGCUUUCGGUCUCUCAGAGGGGCUAUGGUUGGAUUUCUGAAGCUUUCCUCGCAGCGGAAUGGAUCGGGGUUGCACCACGCAUCGAUCUGCAUGAACAAUGACGAACGAAAAGUUGCGGCGAUCUUGCUAGGCUAAGGUACCUACGGAGAAGCAUCCACAACCUUACAAAGUCUUCCUCAACAACACCACCUUAGAGGUAAAUCAAAGGUUUUCUGUUAUUUUGAAGCUUCAAGCUUGAGAAAGAGGAAGUAUGGGUGAUGUGGUUUUAAUGAUAUUGACUGAUGGACUGCUAGGCUGAUCAUGGAUGUAUGGCAAUGAUGUCGUUGAUGGCUUUAAAAUUCGGUGCAUCUUCAAAUUGACACAUUUUAAGCAUGAAAGACAAGAAGUGCAAUGCCCCGGAAAUUAGAAACCCAAGACCCGGAAUGAUGACGUGUGAUGAAUGUCAGAAGUGUAUGAGCUGCAGGAGAUGGUUUCUCUCAGUAUCCAAACCUAGAUGAAUUAAUUAAUAUUUUCCCUUUCUUUACAUGUUGCAUUUGAUAGAUGAAGCCUUGAAACAGUAAUCAAGAUAGAUAUCACCAGUAUUUGAAUUUAAUCAUUAGUUGCUUCUUUCCCCUGUUUAAUAUUGAUUUCAAGCAGUCACUAAGGAAAAUAUUGUUUUUUUCUGUAUUCAA